rnacentral:rRNA from 2 species
ACGACCAUAGGGUGUGGAAAACAGGGCUUCCCGUCCGCUCAGCCGUACUUAAGCCACACGCCGGUGAGUUAGUAGUUGGGUGGGUGACCACCAGCGAAUCCUCACUGUUGUAUGUA